UACAGAGGGUGCGAGCGUUAAUCGGAAUUACUGGGCGUAAAGCGUGCGUAGACGGCUAUCUAAGUCGGGUGUGAAAGCCCCGGGCUCAACCUGGGAAUUGCAUUCGAGACUGAAUAGCUAGGGUACGGUAGAGGGAAGCGGAAUUUCCGGUGUAGCGGUGAAAUGCGUAGAUAUCAAGAGGAACACCUGAGGUGAAGACGGGUUGCUGGGCCGACACUGACGCUGAGUGCGCGAAAGCCAGGGGAGCAAACGGG
rnacentral:rRNA from 1 species